GCCCAUUUCUAUCCUGGAAAGCAUGGAUUCUGUAGGAUAUGUAAAAUGGGACGUCAAACCUGAGAACUUUCAUCUCAGCCAGCCUGGAACUCCUCAAGAAAAGAAACCUUUUCUUGUAGAUCUUGGAUUAGAGGUGAUCGUUGUUGUGAUGAAGCUGCAGUGGUGGCGUAGGAAAUUUAGCUUAUUUUUUGAGGUCACCUAAUCUUCUACAACCUUGGCAAUGGCGGCUGCCUCUUCUUGGUUCAGAGGUGAUCGUUGUUGUGAUGAAGCUGCAGAGGUGGCAUAGGUUGAGGGAACUUGGUAAGCCCAAGGGACACGUCGAAGUUGGUUUGUCAACUGAAAGGCGCUCGACAUCGAGACUGUCCAGCAGUUUGUACACGGUGGGAUGAUAUGGGCUUACAUGACUGCCUCUUCAGCUACAACUACUUGGCAACUGGUUGCCUGAAGCUAUUUCCCAGCUUCGUUGACCUAGAAAGAUAAACCUAGGUGGAUUCUAGGAAUUUUAGCUUAUUCUUUGAGGUUGCCAUAUCUUCGACAACCUCGGCGAUGGCGCCACCUCUUCUUGGUUCAGCCAUGGAACUUUGCUCACUUGUUUCCCCAAAGUUGUUCUUCUUCAUUUGUGUUCUCCCCAAUGCUGCAGAGGUGGCGUAGGUUGAGGGAACUUGAUAAGCUCAAGGGACAUGUGGAAUUUGGUUUGCCAACUAGAAGGCGCUCGGCAUCGAGAUGGUCCAGCAGUCCGUACACGGUGUGAUGAUAAAACUUCCAUGAAUGCAUCAGCUACAACUACUUGGAUGCGAUCGUUGUUGUGAUAAAGCUGCAGUGGUGGUGUAGGUAAGAUAAGGCACUCCCUCCCUCUCAUGUGCUUUCUCUUUCG